UACGUAGGGGGCUAGCGUUGCCCGGAAUUACUGGGCGUAAAGGGAGCGUAGGCGGCCAUUCAAGUCGGGGGUGAAAGCCUGUGGCUCAACCACAGAAUUGCCUUCGAUACUGUUUGGCUUGAGUUUGGUAGAGGUUGGUGGAACUGCGAGUGUAGAGGUAAAAUUCGUAGAUAUUAGCAAGAACACCAGUGGCGAAGGCGGCUAACUGGACCAAUACUGACGCUGAGGCGCGAAAGCGUGGGGAGCAAACAGGAUUAGAAACCCCCGUAGUCC
rnacentral:rRNA from 1 species